rnacentral:ncRNA from 1 species
UAUUCCCAUUUCUCUCCAUGUCAAAGUGAAGAACUUAAACCAAGCACAUGUAAACAGUAGGAGCAACUAUGACUAUAUUAAGGUAGCUAUAUGCCUCACCAUCUAAUUAGUGACACACAUGAAUGGAUCAUUAACGAGAUUCCCCAUUGUCCCUAGCUACUAUAUUCUAGAGAAACCACAUCCAAGGGAAUGGGAUUGGUAGAAUCAGCAGGGAAAGAAGACCCUCGUGUGGAGCUUGACUCUAUUCCUAACCCAUUCAUAGU